rnacentral:rRNA from 1 species
GGGGCACGAGUCACUCCAACCCCUGUGACAUACCACUUGUUGCCUCGGCGGAUCAGCCCGCUCCCGGUAAAACGGGACGGCCCGCCAGAGGACCCCUAAACUCUGUUUCUAUAUGUAACUUCUGAGUAAAACCAUAAAUAAAUCAAAACUUUCAACAACGGAUCUCUUGGUUCUGGCAUCGAUGAAGAACGCAGCAAAAUGCGAUAAGUAAUGUGAAUUGCAGAAUUCAGUGAAUCAUCGAAUCUUUGAACGCACAUUGCGCCCGCCAGUAUUCUGGCGGGCAUGCCUGUUCGAGCGUCAUUUCAACCCUCAAGCACAGCUUGGUGUUGGGACUCGCGUUAAUUCGCGUUCCCCAAAUUGAUUGGCGGUCACGUCGAGCUUCCAUAGCGUAGUAGUAAAACCCUCGUUACUGGUAAUCGUCGCGGCCACGCCGUUAAACCCCAACUUCUGAAUGUUGACCUCGGAUCAGGUAGGAAUACCCGCUGAACUUAAGCAUAUCA